UGCUGUUCUCAAAGCACUGUCCA
rnacentral:misc_RNA from 1 species